rnacentral:misc_RNA from 1 species
GUUGGGAGAAUGAAGAAGCUUCAUAGGAAUUUGAACCUAUAAAAGAAGUUGAAUCUCAAGAACAAAAUUCGUAUGAAGAUGACUUGUCAAUAGAGUUCCCACAAGAGCAGGAGUUACUUGAAAAAGAAAUUGAACCUAAAGUUGAAGAAAACAACUCCUUUAUUGUUGGUGGGUCAUUGGAAGAGUGCUUACAUGAAGAUAAAUCAGAGGUGAAUGUGGUAGAUAAAGAAAUUGACAAGACUAUCAACUUGAGCUCAUUAAUGAUAUUUACACAUACACCACUAGAAGACCCUUUUCUAUCAUGGAC